UUAAGUUCAGCGGGUAUUCCUACCUGAUCCGAGGUCAACCUUAGAAAAAAGGGGGUUUCCCUAUAAAAGGGAGAAGACCGGGUCCUGGGUUCCCUUGAUCCGAUACGUGCUCAAUGAAGAAGCUCAAUGUACCGGGGGUUCCAACAGGCCGCCGUCAUUGUCUUUAGGAGGGGUGACCGCCCGGAGGCUUCCACCAGACC
rnacentral:misc_RNA from 1 species